CAUCAUUAAGGAUAUAGUGGUUGUCCUUGUAAACCCAUAUGCUAAAGAACUCUUCCAGAAUCUCACGUACACCCGAGUAGGAACCGUUUGAUAUUUGAAGGCAUAUUCUAAUUGGCGACAAAAGAAGACAGGAGAUGUAUUAAAUAGAUAUCUACAAUACCGUUCUGUGAUUUUGUCUUUGUUAAAAGUAUGCAGAAACAGCAGUAUUUAUUUGGCUAAAAUCAUUUUCCCUCACUCGCCUCAUAGGUUAUUGAAUGUCACGUUACUCCUAGUUCUGACUCCUAUUUACAGAAAGAACCAAAUCUCCUCCUUUUCAAGCACCUUAAGCUGUAAAAAUAUCAGAAAAGAAGAGAACAAAAAGGAUACCCAGUGAGAAGAACUUGAACAGGAACAGCUGCAGUUUCGCCAAACACUUGUCUUAGCUCAUUUACAAUCUCACCUCCCCUGCAU